CGGCGGCCGGCCUUUUUCCGGGCGCCCGAGGCCUGCUCAACAUUCUCUGCAGAACCCCGGCCUCCGCGUACGGACGCGUCCUACUUGCGGGCCCGUCCACCCCACACGCAGCCUCGCCGGCCUCCCUGCCAGGGCCCGUGCUCGCUGCCCACGUCUGGCCCGCGAAGCCCUUACCCGCCAGCGGCAGGAUGUGUCGCGCUCCCUGCGGACAUGGCGGCCGGCUCUAGUCAACCACCCGCCAACUACCCACCACCGCCCUCCCGCCACUUCCGCCCAACGCGCUGACGCACAGCCUUUUCCGGCCGUGAGGUAGGGCGGUUCCGGCGAGGAGGCUUGAUUCCGAUUGGACCCUCGGGAUAUGAAGCUCCAGUUUGAUCAUGGCAAAAUCGUAGGCACUUGGACAACUUGUUAUGAAACAAGUAAAGUUGAAGAAAAACUGCUCAGCAUGAUGGCGCUUUUAAAAAACCGAAGGUAGGGACUGAGAGAUGGUCCUGCAGACAAAGGCACUAGUGGACAAACACGACGAUCUAAGUUCGAUCCCUAGAGCACACAAGGAAAGUUGCUUUCCGAUCUAAGAACUGUCACGGUGGAGAUUCAAAAUCAAAAUUUAUGAAAUCCCCUUCUCUAAGGGCUGUGUGUUUACACUUGGCUGCCUCUUCAAUAUACUGAAAAGCUUUAAUUUUAAGGAGUUUUGGGUGAAUCUGGAAAACAGAUCCUUAACAACGUUGUAUGCAAGUAUUCUUUCAACAGAAAACAAACCAACCCAGAGUGCUAGCUUACAAAGAUGUUUACAUUCUGAUAUAAUCCAUAGAAUAAAAUUCACUUGAAAACUAAAUAAUAGGGGCUUUGGCAUAUAAUAAAUAAAUAUAUAUUUGUGGUAGGAAU